AGGCCGGGAUAGGGUGGAGGGGGCUUGGGCUGCGCCCAGAACACGGGGGCCAGGCGGUCCGUGCGAGAGGACCAACGGAGCGCUGAGGCGGGCGUUUUCUUGGAUGAAUUGCUUGCUUUGGAGGCAUCUGCAAUCAGAUUCAUAGAAAGAACUCUAACAGGUACUCUUGAAUACAGAUUUCUAAUAACUUUAAGAUCAAUGGAAAGCAGAGCUGCACUGCGGUUAGGGCCUAGUUCCAUCAGCGGCUGCAGCCCCAUGGGUCGCCCAUGGGGACCCUGGCCUUGGGCACCUGUGGAGUACGUGGCGCUGGGUCGCUGGGUCGCUGGCGCCAGUGUGCAAGAUGCUCCGCAAGGAGGCAGCGGCGGGCUGGAUGGUGCUUGGCUGCCGGCCCUACCUGGCCUUUACCGCCUUGAGCGUGCCUGGCUCACUCAACAUCAACCUCUAUUCACUGGUGUGCGCCAGCCCGGGGCGGCUGUGGGGUCAGCGUGCUACUUGCUGCCAGAUGCCUCGGAGCACGCUGCUGCUGCAGGAGGGCAGCAUCCUGGUGGCCGUGAUGGUGCUGAACUAGGGGAGCUGCCACGGGCAGAAGCUGUGCGAGGAGAGUGCCCGGCGGGUUGUCCUCACCUCACUGCUCGCCUGCCUGCCCUCCUGCUGGCGGGUCUACUUCCUCAAAGGGGGAUAUGAGACCUUCUUCCAGGGUUGCAUGGAUGUAAAACUCGUUUCACUCGUUUCAAAGUGAGAGAGCUCUCAUCAGCCAGUGUGGAAAGCUAGUAGUGCUAAACAUCAACUACAGGCCAGCUUAUGAUCAGGGUGGUCCAGUUGAAAUCCUUUCCUCCCUCUACCUUGGAGGUGCCUACCAUGCAUCCAAGUGCAAGUUCCUCAUCAAGCUAUACAUCACAGCCCAGCUGAAUGUCCCCUUGUGGACCUGGCUGUGAGGCCUGCAAGACCCACCUACAUACGAAUGGAUCCUUGUGGAAGAAGGCCACAUGGCUGACAUUAGCUCUCACUUUCAAGAAGCAAUAGACUUCAUUGACUGUGUCAGAGAAAAGAAAGGCAAGGUCCUGGUCCACUGUGAAGCUGGGUUCUCCUGUUCACCCACCAUCUGCAUGGCUUCCCUCAUAAAGACCAAGCACUUCUGCCUGAAGGAGGCCUUCAAUUAUGUCAAGUGGAAGAGGAGCAUGAUCUCACCCAGCUUUGGCUUCAUGGGCCAGCUCCUGCGGUAGGAAUUUGAAAUCCUCCCUUCCACACCCAAUCCCUAGCUUCCCUCCUACCAGGGGGAGGCAGCAGGCUCUUCAUUGAUAAGCCAUUUGCAGACAUUUAGCCCUGACUUGAAGGGUGUCUACUGCACAUUCCCUGCCUCAGUGCUGGCUCCAGUGCCCACCCACUGGACAGUCUCAGAGCUCAGCAGGAGCCCUGUGGCCACAGCCACAUUCUGCUAAAACUGGGAUAGAGGAACAAGCCCAGCCCCAAGAGCAGCUAUGACUUUUGUUUUUAAGAAUGGACAUUUCACAUCUGUGCAAUACUGAAGACCUCACUUUGUCAUGUUGCCCCAGUGACAUAGUGAGAGGUCACCAGGCUUGCAAAUGAACUUCACACAGACCUCAGGGUAGGUUCUCAGGAUUGAAGGAAGGCCAAGCAAUUACAGGAGCACAGCACGUGCUGACUACUGUACUUCCAGACCCCCUGCCCUCAAGGGACUGCCCAGUCCUUGCACCUCAAAGUUCGCCUUUUCAUUUCAAGCAUAAGGCAAUAAAUACCUGCAGCAACAUGGGAGAAAGAAGUUGCUGGACCAACAGAAAUGGCACUUAUGAAGCCAAUUCAUUUUGAAGGAAGCACAAUUUCCACCUUAUUUUUCAAACUUUGGCAGUCUCAAUGUCUGUCUCCGUUGCUUCAGGAAAUAAGCUGAUCACCAUCUAGUCAGGAAAGUAACCCUACAGGGUUUGUGGAGACAUGAUAUAUAUGCCAAUUUGAACCCUGAAAUGUUUUUUACAUACCCUCUUGGGUCCAAUGGAGGCAGUUGGUUGAAGUAGCAAGAUGUUGGCCUUUCUGGGUUUCUCUUUUGCUGUGGCUUCCUCACUGACCUUGGACUUUUAUAAGUAUGAUACAAAUCUACACUUGAAUAAGUAUGACUGUUACUCAUACUUGAACUUAUCUCAUUGCACCUCUUCUCAGCAGCUCUUCAUUUGAGAAAAUAUUUUUUCAGAUCAUAGACUAAAAAAUCAUACCAUCAAGGUGGCGGCACCAGGUGCCAGGAGGAAAAGGGUACUUGCUGUGUAUCCUGGGUCAGUAAUAUUGAAAACUGUCUUCUUCAGCUUCCUGUCCUUCUAUGUGUUGUGUCUCUUGUGACAGUUGUUUUGUCUUCAAGCCACUGACUUCUGGAAUUUGCAGAUUUUGCAAUCCAUGCAAAUGUGAAGAAAAGCUCUAUGUUACUGACCAUUGUUGUUGUUGUUUAUAGUGCAAAAUAAAAAUAGCAAAAAGGAAAAAA